CAUCAAAUGUGCUGUUUCAUGAUGAGACAGAAUUCUGCAAGGAAACCUGAAAAGCAGCCUCCCCCUGCAAAUGCUGGGAUGGAGCCAGCUGUGCCUGAGAACAACCUCGCCUGUGAGGUUCCUGCUGCAAAAUGAUUAUCACAUCAUCAACAGACCUGGCUGAAUCCUGGCUUUGUGGUCCAGAGGACUUUACUCAAGAAGAAAACACUGAUGGGCUGGGGUAGGAAGGAUGUGUGGAGAGGUGGCCAGCAUAGGGAUUACCACCAGAAGUGCACUUGCAGGGCUUUGCUUGCAAAGAUGGAAAUGAAUCCAUUUUAAGGGCAGCUGAGGAUGAAAUGGUAAGAGCUUCCACUCCCAGGGAAGGCAAGGUGUGCCUCUAGUCCAAGCUGAGGGGAAAACCAGGGUAUGCUCAUGCACCCCUGUUCAUCCCUGCAGUCAUGAUGCACCUGGCACAAAGUUAGAACCCAGCAAUUCAUAGUUUGGACCAAGUUUUCCUCUGAUGGUGUUCUCCAGAGAACUGGGCUGAGUCUAGUACCCCUGUGAGUGCAAGGGCAUUUUUGAACUCCUCUCUAAAGGAACAAAGACAACUCAAGGUGGCUUCAAAAUCCCUCAUGCCUAGAAAUGCCUCAGUAGCUCUGGAAGCAGGCAGCUGGAUUGAGAUCCCCAUCUGUGUCACACUGAGCGACUGCUUCCUGCUUUGCCUUUGGGCUUUUAUUUUAAAAUACAGCAGAAAAAUGACUGUUUCUUUAGCCCUUGCUGAGAAAUCCCUUGAACUUCAGCUGAUACACAGGGGAAAACUAAGGACAGACUCUGAACUGGGUUAUUGUUCCUUUAGCCUGUGCACAGCCACAUGCUGCCUUUUCUGUCCCAUCAAAGACCCCCCUGGUGACCCUUUAUGGCUGCUGCACGUCCAAUUGUGGAUGAAAUGUGAAACAUCCUCUUUUUUCCCCAACGAGUACUCAAACCAGGCAUGCAACUUGAGAAAAAUAGGUGAAAAUACCUAUUUUAACUUUGCUUCUAAUCAGAAAACAUAUAUUAUUAAAUAUGCAUACUUCAGCAGAAACAGCAGGUAAGGGCUCCCACUCUAAAACAAACAGAAACAUGCACUUUGAACCCUCAUAUGAAAUUGCAGUAAAAGCCCAACCCAAUAAUUAUUUUCCUUGAUUUUCAGCCAGACGAGGCACAAGACAAAUAAGUCAUCAAGGACAAAUAAAAGGAGGUUCAUUCAUCGCAUUCAGGGCUGGAAUCUUUAAUGGUCACCAAAUGAACUAAGAUAACUAAGUAACCAUUGUAAAUAUUAAUCUUUAAAGGAAAACAAUACUCCCAACAACAGGAAGUCUGAUAAGACAUUGGAUGUGGCCAUCAGUGUUAUGGAGUCUCUCUAAUUUCCUUAGUUUUUUCUUAUGCCUCUAGAGGGAUCAGGAAGGGGACCAUAUGGUAUCUCUCAAAGGAAGUAAAUUAACAUUAUUAAUAGCUAAUGUGGGAGAGGUGAAACAGUGAUUGUUCGUUCUGGUUGUUAUUGUGCUUUUGUUGGGGGGGAAGCCUGCCUGCUAGUAAGCUUAAGCACUCAGCCAAAUUCAAAAUCUUGUAUUUAUAAACAGAGAUCUGAUAACAGUUGCCUAAGCAUCCAUGAUGCUUUGCCAGCGCACGCACAUCGGGCUGAUCCAAAGGGCCUGUCCUAGGGUUAGCUCACGCAGGGACAGCUCAGGCUGCAGUCCCUGUUCCCAAAUAAUGCCUCACAAAGACCCCCACAAUCUCCUUUGUGUUGGUUUAGUUUGAAGCAGAAGGACAAGGAGGGGCAGAUCGGCGCUUUGAGGGAUGCAGCCUGUCCUCUGGCAUCCAGGGAGGGCAUCAAGGGGCCACAGAGGGCUCUCACAGGCAGUGGUCACCCUGUGGGACAGCUCCUUUGGAGCCCACAGUGCUGGCACAGCUGCUCUCCAACAUCCCUCAGCAGGGUGGUAUGGAAGUGGAAGAAGAAUUAUUUUGUGGGAAGCAGUGAUAAAGUGCUGUAUUAGGACUGAUUGAAUCGGUGACUUGGAUGAACAUGUCAGAGGCCUGGGAUCCCUUGCACUUUCUCUGCACUACAAGAAGAAUUCACCUUUCUUAGGCCUGUGCUGUUAUCCCCCAAAUACUUAGAGGGUGGUAUUUAUUCACUGUAAAUAAUAUUUCCACUUAAGUUAUACAUUGUGGCAACUUGAAAGUGUGAGACCCUGGUGUCAGACUCAUCUGUUUGUCCCAGAGCACCUGGGAUCAUAAAAUACAUUUCUCAUUUUUUUCAAGAGUUCCUAUACUUUCUAUUUUCUUCCCAAUAAUGAACACCUGAGGCAAUUUCUAGCUGGCCUUGCAGAAGUGGACUUCAUGAUACCUUGCAUGUUGAGACAAUCUGCAAAAUAAAUUUAAUAGAUAAAACCCAGAGGAGUUGAUUGCAAUUGCCAUUAUCCAUUGAGCUAGGUAGAUUUUAACAAACUUUGGGGAAAUUGGUCAAUAAAUUCCUCAGAAAGAAAACAGUGGAAUUUGGUAUAAUUAACUCACUGGACCUUAAUAAAAAUUGAGUAGCCUAGUAAGAUUACUUCAUGCUUCAGGGCACAUGGUGAUUACUUCAUGGAGAUAAAGGAAUUCCCCCUGCCCUUGAAAGCUUAUACUGCAACUGCAGGCUGUCAGCUGGAAUUUGAUUUCUAGGCCUAAAGAGGACAACUUGAAUGUUUUAAGACUAUACAUACUUCAGUUAAACUUAGGUGGAACUGCUCUGUAAGGAAACCCCUUCCCUAACAGACAACUCCACUUGCAGAGAGAAGUCAGUAAAUUCUGAUUAAGUUUGUCUUACAUCUGGUCUAAAAUACCUCUUCCUGGUUGAUGAUGGGAUGUUUUAUUUCUUGAGAAACUCAUCACAUUGACCAAGAAAGUUCAUGAAAGGCUGAAGAGAUGUGCAUUGUUUCCUGGCUCUAUGGAGUCAUAUGACAUGGAUAAAUUGGUCUCUGUGCUGAAGCCUGAGUGGUUUAUAAUGUUGUGAAGUUUUCCACACUGCAAAUUUUAGAGCCCUUUUGUAUUUCAAGUUACGUAAACUUAUAAUAAAACUGUUGUUCCUUGGCUCUGCAGAA